rfam:Alicycliphilus denitrificans K601, complete genome.
CGCGUUUUUCGCGCAGGCGGAGCUCGACCGCCGAUUGAAGUCUUGAAGAACUACAUCGACCGCCACCGUGAUGACUACGGGGUCGAGCCCAUCUGCCGGGUGCUGCAGAUGGCCCCG